rnacentral:rRNA from 1 species
CAGUAGCCGCGGGAACACGUAGGUGGCAAGCGUUGUCCGGAAUUAUUGGGCGUAAAGGGCUCGCAGGCGGUUUCUUAAGUCUGAUGUGAAAGCCCCCGGCUCAACCGGGGAGGGUCAUUGGAAACUGGGAAACUUGAGUGCAGAAGAGGAGAGUGGAAUUCCACGUGUAGCGGUGAAAUGCGUAGAGAUGUGGAGGAACACCAGUGGCGAAGGCGACUCUCUGGUCUGUAACUGACGCUGAGGAGCGAAAGCGUAGGGAGCGAACAGGAUUAGAUACCCGAGUAGUCCCUGUCUCUUAUAC